UCCGAUAAGAAUUUGCCUUCAUCUUCGC
rnacentral:piRNA from 1 species